rnacentral:rRNA from 1 species
CCGUUGCCGGCGACCGGCGCACGGGUGAGUAACACGUAUGCAACCUGCCCGUGGCAGGGGGAUAAGCGGGGGAAACCCCGUCUAAUACCGCGUAACGCGGCCUUGGGGCAUCCCAAGGCCGCCAAAGGGAGCAAUCCCGGCCACGGAUGGGCAUGCGGCGCAUUAGCUAGUCGGCGGGGUAACGGCCCACCGAGGCGACGAUGCGUAGGGGUUCUGAGAGGAAGGUCCCCCACAUUGGAACUGAGACACGGUCCAAACUCCUACGGGAGGCAGCAG